rnacentral:rRNA from 1 species
GACGAACGCUGGCGGCGGGCCUAAUACAUGCAAGUAGAACGCUGAAGGAGGAGCUUGCUCUUCUGGAUGAGUUGCGAACGGGUGAGUAACGCGUAUGUAACCUGCCUGGUAGCGGGGGAUAACUAUUGGAAACGAUAGCUAAUACCGCAUAACAUUAGAUGUUGCAUGACAUUUACUGAAAAUGUGCAAUUUCAUCACUACCAGGUGGACCUGCGUUGUAUUAGCUAGUUGGUGGGGUAACGGCUCAACAAGGCGAGUACACAUAUCGGACCUGAGAGGGGGAUCGGCCCCACUGGGACUGAGACACGGCCCAGACUCCUACGGGAGGCAGCAGUAGGGAAUCUUCGGCAAUGGACGGAAGUCUGACCGAGCAACGCCGCGUGAGGGAAGAAGGUUUUCGGAUCGUAAAGAUCUGUUGUAAGAGAAGAACGAGUGUGAGAGUGGAAAGUUCACACUGUGACGGUAACUUAACAGAGAGGGACGGCUAACUACGUG